AGCCUGAUGCAGCCAUGCCGCGUGUGUGAAGAAGGCCUUCGGGUUGUAAAGCACUUUCAGUCGUGAGGAAGGUGGUNGNGUUAAUAGCNNUAUNAUUUGACGUUAGCGACAGAAGAAGCACCGGCUAACUCCGUGCCAGCAGCCGCGGUAAUACGGAGGGUGCGAGCGUUAAUCGGAAUUACUGGGCGUAAAGCGCAUGCAGGUGGUUUGUUAAGUCAGAUGUGAAAGCCCGGGGCUCAACCUCGGAAUAGCAUUUGAAACUGGCAGACUAGAGUACUGUAGAGGGGGGUAGAAUUUCAGGUGUAGCGGUGAAAUGCGUAGAGAUCUGAAGGAAUACCGGUGGCGAAGGCGGCCCCCUGGACAGAUACUGACACUCAGAUGCGAAAGCGUGGGGAGCAAACAGGAUUAGAUACCCUGGUAGUCCACGCCGUAAACGAUGUCUACUUGGAGGUUGUGGCCUUGAGCCGUGGCUUUCGGAGCUAACGCGUUAAGUAGACCGCCUGGGGAGUACGGUCGCAAGAUUAAAACUCAAAUGAAUUGACGGGGGCCCGCACAAGCGGUGGAGCAUGUGGUUUAAUUCGAUGCAACGCGAAGAACCUUACCUACUCUUGACAUCCAGAGAACUUUCCAGAGAUGGAUUGGUGCCUUCGGGAACUCUGAGACAGGUGCUGCAUGGCUGUCGUCAGCUCGUGUUGUGAAAUGUUGGGUUAAGUCCCGCAACGAGCGCAACCCUUAUCCUUGUUUGCCAGCACUUCGGGUGGGAACUCCAGGGAGACUGCCGGUGAUAAACCGGAGGAAGGUGGGGACGACGUCAAGUCAUCAUGGCCCUUA
rnacentral:rRNA from 1 species